rnacentral:rRNA from 1 species
GGUUAAGCGACUAAGCGUACACGGUGGAUGCCCUGGCAGUCAGAGGCGAUGAAGGACGUGCUAAUCUGCGAAAAGCGUCGGUAAGGUGAUAUGAACCGUUACAGCCGGCGAUGUCCGAAUGGGGAAACCCAGUGCAAUUCGUUGCACUAUCGUUAACUGAAUACAUAGGUUAACGAGGCGAACCGGGGGAACUGAAACAUCUAAGUACCCCGAGGAAAAGAAAUCAACCGAGAUUCCCCCAGUAGCGGCGAGCGAACGGGGAGCAGCCCAGAGUCUGAAUCAGCUUGUGUGUUAGUGGAACGGUCUGGAAAGUCCGACGGUACAGGGUGAUAGUCCCGUACACCAAAAUGCACAGGUUGUGAACUCGAAGAGUAGGGCGGGACACGUGGUAUCCUGUCUGAAUAUGGGGGGACCAUCCUCCAAGGCUAAAUACUCCUGACUGACCGAUAGUGAACCAGUACCGUGAGGGAAAGGCGAAAAGAACCCCGGCGAGGGGAGUGAAAAAGAACCUGAAACCGUGUACGUACAAGCAGUGGGAGCACCUU